rnacentral:rRNA from 1 species
GACGUAGGGCGCGAGCGUUGUCCGGAUUUAUUGGGCGUAAAGAGCUCGUAGGCGGCUUGUCGCGUCGACUGUGAAAACCCGUGGCUCAACCAUGUGGUCUGCAGUCGAUACGGGCAGGCUAGAAUUCGGUAGGGGAGACUGGAAUUCCUGGUGUAGCGGUGAAAUGCGCAGAUAUCAGGAGGAACACCGGUGGCGAAGGCGGUUCUCUGGGCCUGACCUGACGCUGAGGAGCGAAAGCGUGGGGAGCGAACAGG